rnacentral:rRNA from 1 species
UACGUAGGGGGCUAGCGUUGUCCGGAUUUAUUGGGCGUAAAGAGCGUGUAGGCGGCCAGGUAGGUCUGCUGUGAAAACUCGAGGCUCAACCUCGAGACGUCGGCGGAAACCAUCUGGCUAGAGUCCGGAAGAGGAGAGUGGAAUUCCCGGUGUAGCAGUGAAAUGCGUAGAGAUGUGGAGGAACACCAGUGGCGAAGGCGACUCUUUGGUCUGUAACUGACGCUGAGGCGCGAAAGCGUGGGGAGCAAACAGG